GGCGACCGGCGCACGGGUGAGUAACGCGUACGCAACUUACUUUUCGAGAGGGGCAUAGCUUUGGGAAACUCGGGAGUAAACUUUAUAGUAUCCUUUAAUGCAUAUUAGAUGGAUUAAAAUGAGGUGCUCAAGGACGGGCGUGCGUGCUAUUAGAUAGUUGGUGAGGUAACGGCUCACCAAGUCCGCGAUAGCUAGGGGGCGUGAGAGCGUGAUCUUCACACGGGUACUGAGACACGGACUCGACUUUUACGGGAGGCAGCAGUAAGGAAAUUGGACAAUGGGCGAGAGCCUGAUCCAGCUAUCUGCGUGCAGGAAGAACGGCCCUUGGGUUGUAAACUUGCUUUUUAUAUUGGGAAAAAAUCGGUUCUGAAUUCUCAGAAUAUUGACGGUACCCAUACGAAAUAAGCCACCCGGCUAAACUUCCCGUUGCCCAGCAGCCCGCGGGUAAUUACCGGAGGGGUGCAAAGCGUUUAUCUCGGAAUUCACUNGGGUUUAAAGGGGUGGCGGUAGGUGGGCCUCGAUUUAGUCCAGAGAGUGAAAAGCCUAUUAGCUUAAACUAUUAGAAUUUGCCUUUUGAUUACUUGUCGGGGCUUUGAAUUUAGGACGAAGUCAGCGGAAUUGUGACAUUGUAGCGGUGAAAUGCAUAGAUUUUGUCAUAGAACACCCAAUUUGCGAAGGCAGCUGACUAGACCUCGAUUUGACACUGAGGCACGAAAGCGUGGGGAGCGAACAGGAUUUAGAUACCCCUGGUAGUCUCACGCCCCUAAACGAUGCUAACU
rnacentral:rRNA from 1 species